UGUUGGCAUAAGUAGUACCAUGAAAAAUUUGAAUCUAUAGUACGACCCAUGCCGACUCA
rnacentral:pre_miRNA from 1 species